rnacentral:tRNA from 1 species
AAAGGGAGACCUAAUUCAGGUAAAAGACGAAAAAAAAGUAGUCGCUACCAAGAAUCAAUCCCGAAAGGUCGGAGCGAGGCGAAAUUGGCUUUCAAACUAGGUUCUGGGUUCAAACAAGACCUGAAUCAGGAACAAGGGCUAUUAGCUCAGGUGGUUAGAGCGCACCCCUGAUAAGGGUGAGGUCCCUGGUUCGAGUCCAGGAUGGCCCACCUGCACAGGUGGCAAAAACAAGAGAAGCGAGGAAUCAGCACCUUAUCUUACUUAUAUAGUAAGAGAGAAUGCUGGCUCUGAGUAAAGAGUCCAGAGGAACCUUGAAAACUGCAUAGAGCUAGGUGAAAAAGCCAAAAAAGAAGACCGCAAG